GACGAACGCUGGCGGCGUGCUUAACACAUGCAAGUCGAACGGAAAGGCCCUGCUUUUGUGGGGUGCUCGAGUGGCGAACGGGUGAGUAACACGUGAGUAACCUGCCCUUGACUUUGGGAUAACUUCAGGAAACUGGGGCUAAUACCGGAUAGGAGCUCCUGCUGCAUGGUGGGGGUUGGAAAGUUUCGGCGGUUGGGGAUAGACUCGCGGCUUAUCAGCUUGUUGGUGGGGUAGUGGCUUACCAAGGCUUUGACGGGUAGCCGGCCUGAGAGGGUGACCGGCCACAAUGGGACUGAGAGACGGCCCAGACGCCUACGGGAGGCAGCAGUGGGGAAUAUGGCACAGUGGGCGGAAGCCUGAGGCAGCAGCGCCGCGUGCGGGAUGACGGCCUUCGGGUUGUAAACCGCUUUCGCCGGUGACGAAGCGUGAGUGACGGUAAUGGGUAAAGAAGCACCGGCUAACUACGUG
rnacentral:rRNA from 1 species